rnacentral:rRNA from 1 species
UGGGGAAUCUUGCACAAUGGGGGAAACCCUGAUGCAGCGACGCCGCGUGAGCGAUGAAGCCCUUCGGGGUGUAAAGCUCUUUCGGCAGGAACGAUAAUGACGGUACCUGCAGAAGAAGCUGCGGCUAACUACGUGCCAGCAGCCGCGGUAAUACGUAGGCAGCAAGCGUUGUUCGGAGUUACUGGGCGUAAAGAGUGCGUAGGUGGUUCUCUAAGUUCGGUGUGAAAUCUCCCGGCUCAACUGGGAGGGUGCGCCGAAAACUGGAGAGCUUGAGUAUGGGAGAGGAGAGCGGAAUUCCUGGUGUAGCGGUGAAAUGCGUAGAUAUCAGGAGGAACACCUGUGGUGCAGACGGCUCUCUGGACCAUUACUGACACUGAGGCACGAAAGCGUGGGGAGCAAACAGG